rnacentral:rRNA from 1 species
CGUCAAAUGAAUUGACGGGACCCGCGACAAGCGGUGGAUGAUGUGGAUUAAUUCGAUGCAACGCGAAAAACCUUACCUACCCUUGACAUGUCUGGAACCUUGGUGAGAGCCGAGGGUGCCUUCGGGAGCCAGAACACAGGUGCUGCAUGGCUGUCGUCAGCUCGUGUCGUGAGAUGUAGGGUUAAGUCCCGCAACGAGCGCAACCCUUGUCUUUAAUUGCCAUCAUUGAGUUGGGCACUUUAAAGAGACUGCCGGUGUUAAACCGGAGGAAGGUGGGGAUGACGUCAAGUCCUCAUGGCCCUUAUGGGUAGGGCUUCACACGUCAUACAAUGGUCGGUACAGAGGGUUGCCAACCCGCGAGGGGGAGCCAAUCCCAGAAAACCGAUCGUAGUCCGGAUUGUAGUCUGCAACUCGACUGCAUGAAGUCGGAAUCGCUAGUAAUCGCGGAUCAGCAUGUCGCGGUGAAUACGUUCCCGGGCCUU